UACGGAGGGUGCGAGCGUUGUCCGGAAUCAUUGGGCGUAAAGGGCGCGUAGGUGGCCCGGUCAGUCUUUGGUGAAAGCGCGGGGCUCAACCCUGCGUCGGCCAGGGAUACUGCCGCGGCUCGAGCACUGUAGAGGCAGGCGGAAUUCCGGGUGUAGCGGUGGAAUGCGUAGAGAUCCGGAAGAACACCCGUGGCGAAGGCGGCCUGCUGGGCAGUUUUGCUGACACUGAGGCGCGACAGCGUGGGGAGCAAACAGGG
rnacentral:rRNA from 1 species